UAUUGGUCAAUGGGCGGAAGCCUGAACCAGCCAAGUCGCGUGAGGGAUUAAGGCCCUGCGGGUCGUAAACCUCUUUUGCCGGGGAGCAGAGGUCCGGACGUGUCCGGGCCGGGAGAGUACCCGGAGAAAAAGCAUCGGCUAACUCCGUGCCAGCAGCCGCGGUAAUACGGAGGAUGCGAGCGUUAUCCGGAUUUAUUGGGUUUAAAGGGUGCGUAGGCGGGCAUUUAAGCCGGCGGUCAAAUGUCGGGGCUCAACCCCGUCCGGCCGUUGAAACUGGGGGCCUUGAGUGGGCGAGAAGAAGGCGGAAUGCGUGGUGUAGCGGUGAAAUGCAUAGAUAUCACGCAGAACCCCGAUUGCGAAGGCAGCCUUCCGGCGCCCUACUGACGCUGAGGCACGAAAGUGCGGGGAUCG
rnacentral:rRNA from 1 species